GCCGCCCACAACAACAGCAUCGUACACUGGGAGCCACUUGUAGGGGUUCACAGUGACACAGAACAGCCCGGAGUAUGUCUGCAAUACAGCAAGGAGCAGCUGCUAUUUACCUCCUUGGACGACAACACAGAAGAGUAGAAUCUGGGCGGGAAUCUGAAAAACAUUAUUGGAUUGGAUUGGAUGCAGCAUCACAUUAAGAUUCACUCACCUGUGCUGGAUGCCUAACAGUUCAGAGAAGAUUCUGGAGCUGCUGCUUUUAUAGAGACAUGAGUGGUUGCUCAGCAGAAGGUUCCUGCUGUAUUUGGGCAUGUGUUUUCACACACUAACUGCUAUCCUUACUGCUGUACGAAGAGAAGAGAAAUUAUUUUUAGCUCAUAAACAUAAGGGUUUUAUUAUAAGGAAGUUGCCUGUUUUGAUUUUUGUAUUAAAAAAAUAGUGGAUUAAA